rnacentral:rRNA from 1 species
CCCCCUUUGUGGUCGGUGUACAGGUGGUGCAUGGUUGUCGUCAGCUCGUGUCGUGAGAUGUUGGGUUAAGUCCCGCAACGAGCGCAACCCUCGUCCUAUGUUGCCAGCGGGUCAUGCCGGGGACUCAUGGGAGACUGCCGGGGUCAACUCGGAGGAAGGUGGGGAUGACGUCAAAUCAUCAUGCCCCUUAUGUCUUGGGCUUCACGCAUGCUACAAUGGCCGGUACAAAGGGCUGCGAUACCGCGAGGUGGAGCGAAUCCCAGAAAGCCGGUCUCAGUUCGGAUUGUAGGCUGCAACUCGCCUGCAUGAAGAUGGAGUUGCUAAGUAAACGCAGGUCAGCAUUACUGCGUUGAAUACGUCCGGGAUU